AACGACUCUCGGCAACAGAUAUCUCGGCUCUCGCAUCGAUGAAGAACGUAGCGAAAUGCGAUACUUGGUGUGAAUUGCAGAAUCCCGUGAACCAUCGAGUCUUUGAACGCAAGUUGCGCCCGAAGCCUUCUGGCUGAGGGCACGUCUGCCUGGGUGUCACUC
rnacentral:rRNA from 1 species